GACGUAGGGGGCCAGCGUUGUUCGGAAUUACUGGGCGUAAAGGGUUCGUAGGCGGUGCGGCAAGUUGGGGGUGAAAUCUCUGGGCUUAACCCAGAGGCUGCUUCCAAAACUGCUGUGCUUGAGUGUGGGAGAGGCGCGUGGAAUUGCAGGUGUAGCGGUGGAAUGCGCGGAUAUCAGGAGGAACACCGAUGGCGAAGGCAGCUCGCUGGGACGGUACUGACGCUGAGGCGCGAAAGCGUGGGGAGCGAACAGG
rnacentral:rRNA from 1 species